GAUGAACGCUGGCGGCAUGCCUAACACAUGCAAGUCGAACGAGCUGGAGCAAUCCAGCUAGUGGCGAACGGGUGAGUAACGCGUAGGAAUCUGCCCCGAACCUGGGAAAGUAACCCACGCCGAAAGGUUAGGCUAAUGUCCCACUAGUCUCGCAAGAGUAAAGGACGGUAAGCCGGUUUGGGUAGGAGCCUGCGUCCCAUCAGCUUGUUGGU
rnacentral:rRNA from 1 species